rnacentral:rRNA from 1 species
GAUGAACGCUGGCGGCGUGCCUAAUACAUGCAAGUCGAGCGAACAGACGAGGAGCUUACUCCUCUGACGUUAGCGGCGGACGGGUGAGUAACACGUGGAUAACCUACCUAUAAGACUGGGAUAACUUCGGGAAACCGGAGCUAAUACCGGAUAACACGUUGAACCGCAUGGUUCAACAGUGAAAGACGGUCUUGCUGUCACUUAUAGAUGGAUCCGCGUCGCAUUAGCUAGUUGGUAAGGUAACGGCUUACCAAGGCAACGAUGCGUAGCCGACCUGAGAGGGUGAUCGGCCACACUGGAACUGAGACACGGUACAGACUCCUACGGGAGGCAGCAGUAGGGAAUCUUCCGCAAUGGGCGAAAGCCUGACGGAGCAACGCCGCGUGAGUGAAGAAGGUCUUCGGAUCGUAAAACUCUGUUAUUAGGGAAGAACAAAUGUGUAAGUAACUAUGCACGUCUUGACGGUACCUAAUCAGAAAGCCACGGCUAACUACGUG